GACGAACGCUGGCGGCGUGCCUAAUACAUGCAAGUUGAGCGCUGAAGGUUGGUACUUGUACCGACUGGAUGAGCAGCGAACGGGUGAGUAACGCGUGGGGAAUCUGCCUUUGAGCGGGGGACAACAUUUGGAAACGAAUGCUAAUACCGCAUAAAAACUUUAAACACAAGUUUUAAGUUUGAAAGAUGCAAUUGCAUCACUCAAAGAUGAUCCCGCGUUGUAUUAGCUAGUUGGUGAGGUAAAGGCUCACCAAGGCGAUGAUACAUAGCCGACCUGAGAGGGUGAUCGGCCACAUUGGGACUGAGACACGGCCCAAACUCCUACGGGAGGCAGCAGUAGGGAAUCUUCGGCAAUAGACGAAAGUCUGACCGAGCAACGCCGCGUGAGGGAAGAAGGUUUUCGGAUCGUAAAACUCUGUUGGUAGAGAAGAACGUUGGUGAGAGUGGAAAGCUCAUCAAGUGACGGUAACUACCCAGAAAGGGACGGCUAACUACGUG
rnacentral:rRNA from 1 species